rnacentral:tmRNA from 1 species
GGGGCUGCACCGGUUUCGACGUGGGUUCGGACGCGCAGCAGGGCAUGUCGAGGUUCUGUCACCUCGUUAAUCAGCAGAAAAAACGUAACUGCAAACGACGAACAGUUUGUUCAGCUGAAGGUCGCUAACACCUGAUGCUCCCCCGCAACAGCUCGCCGAUGGGCUGGGUGAGGUGCCCGCAAGGGUACUGAGCUGCGGGGUCAUUCACAUCGGCUGGCUUUGCGUCGGGCACCUUGACGCAAAGUAAGAUUCAAGGAUGCUGGCUUUCCGUUUAGCGUGCCACUGCGCGACUCGGGGGGCGAGACUCAAAUCAGACGGCUACACAUGUAGAACUGCUCGAAGAAGGCUUGCGGACGGGGGUUCGAAUCCCCCCAGCUCCACCA